rnacentral:rRNA from 1 species
CCAAUAGCGUAUAUUAAAGUUGUUGCAGUUAAAAAGCUCGUAGUUGAAUUUCGAGAUCAAAUUGUUGGUCGUGCCUCGGUACGUACUGGCAUUAUUGAUUUCUCCUUUCUGAAGAACCAUGAUGUCAUUAAUUUGGUGUCUUGGGGAAUCAGGACUGUUACUUUGAAAAAAUUAGAGUGUUUAAAGCAGGCUCACGCUUGAAUACAUUAGCAUGGAAUAAUGAAAUAGGACGUUUGAUUCUAUUUUGUUGGUUUCUAGGAUCGACGUAAUGAUUAAUAGGGUUAGUUGGGGGCAUUAGUAUUCAAUUGUCAGAGGUGAAAUUCUUGGAUUUAUUGAAGACUAACUACUGCGAAAGCAUUUGCCAAGGAUGUUUUCAUUAAUCAAGAACGAAAGUUAGGGGAUCGAAGACGAUCAGAUACCGUCGUAGUCUUAACCAUAAACUAUGCCGACUAGGGAUCGGAUGAUGUUAAUUUUUUAAUGACUCAUUCGGCGCCUUACG